AUGACUUUCAUCAGCAUCUUCAUCUGGACACUUUUGUGCUGUGUUAAAGAGUCCAGAGGACAGGUGACUGUGACUCAGACUCCUGAAGUGAAAUCUGCUCUUCCAGGAGACACAGUCACUAUCAACUGUAAAACCAGCCCUGCAGUGUAUUACUCCAGUUACUAUGGUCACCGGUUGAGCUGGUACCAACACAAACCUGGACAGGCUCCUAAACUCCUCAUUUACUUGGCCAAUAAGUUACAGACAGGAAUUCCAAAUCGUUUCAGUUGCACUGGAUCUGGGACUGACUUCACUCUGACCAUCAGAGGAGUCCAGACUGAAGAUGCAGGGGAUUAUUACUGUCAGAGUUUACAUGAGAUCAGUGAAUACUAUGAAUUCCUAGACGUGUUCAGCAAGAAGGGGGCCACCACUCUUCCGCCACACUGCUCAUGGGACUGUGCUAUUGAUCUAUUACCUGGAUCAUUAACACCACGGCAGCUCAUCAUGCUGGCCUGCCUGCUCAGUGGAUACUCCCAUGGGGCGGCGCUGGUGAUCUGGAUGGUGGAGCUGGUCACCCACAGUGACCAGACACAAUCCGCCUCCUUCCACAAGAGUCACUGUGAAGCCUGA